rnacentral:lncRNA from 1 species
CCCCCGUGGCCCCGCCCCCGCCCCGGCCGCGGGCCCGGAGCCGCUGCAGACCCGGUGCCCCGCGCACCUGGCGGGGAGAAAGUUCGGGGUCCGCGAACACGCCGUGACCUUGAGACGGCGGCUCCCUGUCCCCGCGCCCGCCCCGCGGGGCGGCCAGGAGGGGGCGCUCGGGCGCAAGGGUCGGGGUCGGGGACCCGCCCUUGCCGUCCCACCGGUCUGCGGCGCCUCGGAGCCGGAGCCCGACCCGGACCGAGGCCCCAGGCCCCGUUUUGCGGGCCGGGCCGGGAAUUCGGGGGCGUCUGGCCGCUGUGGGCUCGGCGACUUCCAGACGCGCUCGAGCUGCGCCCGCCCGCCCGCUCGCUCCUGCAGAAGGCCCGGAAGUCCGCCCGGAGCCCUGCCCGCCGGCCUGUUUCCCGGGUUCUCGGACGGAGCCGGCCCGGCCCUGGCAGUUGUUUUGCCCUCGCUGAAGACCGGUGGCGUCGCCGAGGCUGAGCGCCCGCCCUUCCCGGUCCCCCGGCCCCACCACACCUGGCCAGCGCCACCCUGACUCCGGGCUGCGGCGUCGCCCUCGUCUGCGGACGGAGCCGCGCGCGCGCGGCCUCCUGACUUUCCGGCACGGCUUCGUGGGGAAGCCAGACGGCGCUCCGAAGGACAGCCGCGCAGGCCGCGCCUCCGGUGGCGGGGAACGACGGGAGUAAACCCUGCGUUCGGCCUGAUGCCCCCACUCUUCCUCCUCCGACCGAACUUUGGUGCCGUGGACCCCGCGACAUCCGGCUCCUGCACCACGGUCACGAGAAGCAGCACGUUUUAAUUCUAAAGCCUCGGGCUUUCCUUCCUAAGCGAGUUGUUCCAAAACAUCGCAUUUUCCGGAUUCCGAGUGACAAGGGACAGUAAGGCAGAGAAGGUGCGGAUCGUCCCUGCAACGCUAACUACAAGGCCUGGGAGGGCUGCGCUCCAGCUCGCAGACAGCGGAGAGCUCACGUUCCUCCCUCGCUCCCCACCUCCGUCCCUGUUAGCUUCUCCGAUUAGGACCGCAGCGCAGGUCUGGGCCCACACAGGUGAGGACGUGUGCGAAGCUGAUUGCUGGUUGGAACCGAGUCCCUGGCUCUGUUGAGCGAAUGAGCUUGCCCCGCCCACACACGUGAACUUGUCCGUCCUCCUGGAGGAAGAAAGAUUCCCGAAGCAAAGUACCGAGUAGCAGAACGAGGGACGGGGUGUUGGCCUCCCCCUGUUUCCCCGUGGAAGAAGGGAUGCAUGCCUGCUGCGAAUCUGGGGGUUCGCGUUCCGCAGAGAAGAGCAGAAGUGUAGAAGUGCUUUGAAGUGAUCGCUCGCUGGGUGCACACUUUGAUUGGUCUGAGGGCGACAGUUCGGCCUCUUCCCUGGCUCUUCAAAAUCUUUAUUUCAGGGCCUGCUUACUUCCAAAGUGCGGCUGCUCAUCAGAGCCACCUAAGGAGCUCCCAGGGCAGCCGAGGCCCCAGCCCCCGAUCUUCUCUCCAGGACAGAAACUCAUUCUGUCUGUUCUGGUGGGGCAUGCGUGAUCACUAGUAAAGCAGUUGCUAAUGAAAACUGGGCUUUCCCCUGUGGCCCCCAUCUGCACAGGUAGGGGAAGCACUGUUGUUUUUACAGCUCCUGUGUCUUUCUCCCGGGCCACCGCUGAACUAUGUAAAUAACUAGCUGGUUUUCCUUUUCUCUCAUUCUCAAGCCCCACAUAAUUCACAUAGUAGUCCUUUUCAUAUUUGUCUAUAAAUAAGUGAAUGCAGUCCAGGGAUCAGUUCACGUAAACUGCAUUUGCAGUUAUAUUAAAAGCAUCAGGUCCAGAAUGUGUCCCUUAACCUGCUUCCUCCUGGAAUCCUUUGCGUCCUCUUCCAGGACCUUCUCUCUGCAUUUCUUCCACACAACACUUUGAUUAUUCCUCCUCCUUUUUCCUAGUUCUUUUCCUUUUCUGGACAUUUUUUUCCUUAGCUGUUUGUCCCUCUCGUUCUGUGCUACCUUUAUUUUAGUUCCCCAGUGAACUGAAGUUGUUGGAGGACUGGCACCAGAGCACCGGAGUUUUCAUUUGUGUGUAUUCUGACCUUCAGUUCCCAAGGGAUGCUUGCUGGCCCACUCCUGGGUUUCCAGAAGGAGAACAUGGGGUCUGGAACAGUCGGCCCCCAGGGGUAGACGUCAGGAGGUACAGACUGUGCUCGAGUCACCAUCCGCCGUCUGCCUCCCUUUGUCUUCUACUUUUUGUAACAAAAAUUAUCAACUUCGAAUCCCUUAAGAGUGGCCCGUAUCACUGCCCAAACCUCUCACGUUUGCGGGUACUGGCCCGGCCCCUGAGUGCAUUCUGCCUGCAAACAGAGACAGCCCACUUGGACAAGGGUAUGGACCUGGCUGAAAAUCACAACUACACUGGAAAUGGGAAACCAUUUGUUCAUAAAUUUACCAAAAAAAGGAAAUUUCAAGACAGCCUCAUUAAAGACCUGUUAAAAGUUCAUUUACUAGAUAGCUGUUGCUCCUUUGUGAAAACAAAAUUAAAUGUAAAGAACUAAACGAAAAUUAUACUAAGUCACCUUUGCUCCAAUUAUUCUUUCAUUUCAUGACUGCAGACAAAUGUCCUAUCAGAUCAACUCACGAUGUGCACUGAAGAUGUACAUGUUCAGCACCACCCCUUUGUGCUCCUGCAGGCUGAAACCCCUCCAGUAACAGUCAGGGGACAUUAAGGGUAAGCACAGUGUUUGUGAAUCAAAGAUGCUCUUGCAGAAACAGCUCUGAUGGCCCUUUCCUCGGGGAAGAGAAUGUGCACGAUUAUCUACUUCAAAUACCAGGGUGCUCUUUUCUUGCUUCUAAAUCUAAGGCAAACAUGGCUUAGCUGCUGAGCAAGCAGCCAGGUCUUGACAAAACCGAGGUCUUCUCUCUCCUCUUUGAGCCCAAUCCAAUAAUGACAUAUUUUUAGUGUACUGUCUCAGAUUCCCAAGUACUAUCAAGAAAGUCACCACCAUUCGUUUAUUUCCACAAUACUUGUACAUAUACUGAUUUAAAUACAAGUCUUUAUAAAUUAACAGUAAUAAUACCCAACAGUAAUGCAUCUCUACAUGUCUGGCUCAGUAGUGGAUACUCGCUUUGCAUAGCAGUGACUUAGAUCCCAUAGCAAUCUUUCACCUCAAGGUGCAGGUCAGUGUCACCAGGGAUGCCGAACAGAUGCUGCUUGUGAUAUCCCGUCAUGAUGUAGACUCUACAAGACAAAAUAAGUAUUUUGACUGUUACUCUUCUCAGACUUCCUUCAAAAUUGACCACACUACCAUUAACAAAAAGUGCUAAUUAUGUCAACCCAAGCUACAACGCAAGAGUUCACUCAGAAGAUAUGGGCAAUGAUUGAAUUUUCAAAAUAUUACAGUAAAAGACACAUUGCUAUUAAUCUUCCUCAGAAUACUUCUCCUCCCUUUGAACACACUUUCUGAAAGUCUGAAUGCACUUUCUGAAGCCUCUCUGGAAGUCCUCUUUCCAGAGUGUCUUGAGUUGCACUGUCAUUGCUGUCUCAAAGUCCUGGAUCAAUUCAAGACUUUGCCUUUUGUGGUCAUGUUGAAUUUGGGAAAGAGUCAGAAGUCAUAUGGAGGCAGAUAAGGCGAAUGAGGACAUCCCAUCAUGUUUUCGUUUCACAGAAAUUGCUGAUUCAGGACGUGGAGGCGGACAUGAAGAGACACUUACGCCGUCCAUGACAGUGGUUGGUAAAGCGUUACCUGCACUGCAACCUGAGUGGCCUUACAUCAUCUCCCGUGGGUAACUGCAGUGAGGGCCUGAUGAACACACAGUAGGAGUGACCAGACAGCUGUGACCAGGACACAGCAUGAUGGGAACAGCUCCUACGAUUUAAAGGAAAUAAGGGUCAUUAGGGUAUAGGAGUCCAGGUAGCAACUUAACCCCCAGAGUCAAGGCAGGUGUGACUGUCACAGUAGGUGAUAGGGUGGGUGUAUCAGAAAGGUGUGACCUACACGGGUCCUUGGGAGUGACUAAAGGAUUACAAAGUCCCGAGGACUGAAAAGUCUGAAUAUUACACUAAGUUCCUGCUGUUUCUGGCCACUUAGGUUCUUAUCCUCAGGUUCAUUUGUGCACCACUGACCAAAUCAAAGGAGGCUAUAAUGUUUGGGUAAAAAGGAAAAGGGUUUAUUGAAGGCCAGCUUGGCGGACAUGGAGGGCCCGUUUGUCUCAGGUCACCGUCUUCCCUGCACAGGCGGACAAGGGACGUUGGUAGUAAGGAGCUGAGGGGAACACAGAGUCAGUGUUGAGCUCCACACUUGCUUUAUCACUUCUGGCCUCUUCAGCUGUGGCCUCCUGGGGCUGCUGGCACCUGCAUAUUCUGUCCGUUCUUCUGAGCUGAGAAGACCUGGGGGAGUCUUUAUGCCCUAAGCCUGAGGACACCUGGAGAAACUAUUUGUCUCUAAAAGAAAAACCCUAACUUGUAAAGUUCCACUUUGCACUGUCCAUUACACGGCUUAAUCUCUACAACCAAGAUGCCUGCGGUUGAGGUCAGCCUAGACCUGACUUGCACUAUCACAAGAGCAAAUCGUCUCCUGAUCUGUUCUUCAGACCUGGAGUGGGCCCUGGAGUCUAGGUGCACUCAAAGGCAGGCGAGUCCUGCAUCACCAGGAGAUGCCUGCAUUCCUCCUGAUCUUGCCCAGAGGCCCCAGGUUGGUUACCAGGAUGCCCAUAGCUUCAGAGGUGGCUGACAGGACCCUGACCCAGGAUGCCAGCAUGGUCCGUGGCAAGUCACAUAGAGAACCUGUGUGCUGACCCAAUGCCCGGCAUGCACAGCAGGCCCUGAGUGCUUUCUGUGCUGAGUUCCCCUCCUUGGGGUGGGGGAGACAACCCAGCAAUGGCCUCAGCUCUCAGAUUUUACCCUGAAUGGGGAGCCAAGGUGGGAAAGCCAAAAAAUAAAACCGAAAACAAACCCUGCAGACCAUAACCACCCUAGCAGUACAGGAAGCCAAAGCAACAUUGCAUUGCUGGGGAAACAACAGAGAGAAGUGUACCACCAGGCCCUGGGGAGGAUGGCAGGCGGUGACUAUAGUCGUGUCCCCACCAGCCUAACUCACUUCAUCCACUAGUGAUGUGGACCUGGGUCAAGGCAGAGGGUUGUCAGCUGCUCAGUUAGGCCUCCUUGUGGAACACUGAGGACCGCUCCUGAUGCCCAAUAGCAUGUGAUCUGUUUGCCAAAUGUUUUCCAUUGUACUCAUAAACACUGAGCCCAGCUGGGAAUGGAUUUCCCCUUCACUCAGUGUCACAGGGAAAGGUCAUGUUGAGUCCCAAGGUGUAAGAUACAGUCCAGAGGGUUCUUGAUUGCUUCAUCAUCACCAGGUUUAUUCUGGAUCAUCACACUGCUGAUAUCGCACAGCUGGGACCUGGUGGUGAGUGAAUAGUACAUAGGCAUCAUGGUAAGACGUGUGUGUGCCAGGGAGAGACUCACAUGAAAAUGUAUGUAUUUAUCUUCCCAAUUAUUUACUUUAUCUUCCUGAUCCCAGCUGGACUAUGGGUCCCAUGUGAACAAUGACAUCUGCCUUAUUCACCACCACUGUUCCAGCCUAGUCCUGGUACCUACAAAAAAUAAGGACAAGAUGUCUUCUUAUGCCUCUUCUGAAGAAUGUAGAUGUUUUAUAGCAACCAUCCCCUCUAGGUAGGGAUGAAGUUUUUACUGCCAAGCAUUGUAUUUGAAUUCUUCUAAGGUAAGAUUUGAUGUGAAAUCAUUUGGAGAACGAAUGGAUUGGAAUAGGUAAUAGCGUUCUAAAUGUCCUCAUUCUCAGUGACUUUUGUUUCAAUGUUCUCCCAUUUAUGAAAAAGGACAGAAUAAUUGCUUACUUUGAGAGAGGCUAGGAAGAUGUUGGCCACAUAGGGCAAUGAUGAUGUUCUAUUGUGUAUUUUUUUUUUGCUUUUACCAUUUAGUUUUGACCAAACAGUUCAUGGAACAUCAAGAUGAUGCAUAGUUAAUAAGACAGAAGGUCAAGGAAAUGAAAGAAAAGAGUAAACAAAAAGGAAACAUCACUGAGCUAUUACUUUCUAUCAGAAUUUGUUAGAGGAAGCCAUUAAUGAUCUGAUGGUUGCAGCUACUCAUUUCCUAUCUGCUGUCCAUGUGGAGCUGAGGGCUACACUUGUCGCAGAUACAAUUUCAACGGCAGCACAUGGCCCACAGCCAGUGUGGGUGGAAGGCAAGGAUGACCAGAAGGAGAACAUGUGGAACCCUUUCUACAGCAGAGCAGAACACCGUCAGGUUUCAAGG